rnacentral:tRNA from 1 species
GGGCCCGUAGCUUAGCUUGGUUAGAGCGCCUGGCUGAUAACCAGGAGGUCCCGAGUUCAAAUCUCGACGGGCCCA